UCGUUUUUUUUUUCAAUUAUUUUCAAUGGUGAUAAGAUCGGGCCCAGCUCUCAUCCUUCUUCCAGCUUCGGACGGAGGCAAAGGCCUUUCCCCCCCGAAGCCCGGCCUGGCUUGUAUUCCUCGCUCUGAGGCCUCUCUGCCUCUGAGGAUCAUGUACCUGCGAUGAACAUUCGCAGGAAGAGGUGGGCGGUGGAAAGAACAUUCGCUGCAGCAGAGAGGCCAACCUAGUCUCCUCCCGGAAGAGGCUUUCCAACUGUGUAUGUAGAUUAUUUGGAAGAAUCCCACUUAUCCAUCGCUUCCGCCACCGCCACCGCCACCGCCACCUUCAUCCUCCAUUGUUGCCGCCUGCAUCCGCCAUCGCCUGUCACACAAUUGCCGUCUUUCAGCAACCGUCUGCCGCCACUAACCGCCGUUCGUCCGUCGACCCCCAGUCCGAGUCAUCUGAAACCGCUGGUUCCACGCCAGUCUACCCAUUCAACCAGGUCAAAUGGUCAAUGCCAACUAGUGGUAAAAAAGUAAAUGUCGGUCAGCUAUUCACGAAGAGGUGGAGGUGGGCGGAGGAAAGAGUAUUUUCUUCAUUUAAUAUUUUAUCUUGCUUGCAAUACUGUCGUUGUGUGUUAGAUAGGUCUCUUCAUUUUCAUAGCUGGUUAUUAGUAAAAAAUGAUAGCCCAGUUGAUUGUAUCUUAUCAACUUAUUGACUAUGGAGCCUUAUUCUAAUCUUUGGUGAUUCAUUAAUCAUGAUGAUUCACUUUUUUGAAAAAUUAAAAGAUUACACUCGAUCAUAUCAUAGCCAACCUUCAUAUUAUUAAUUUCAUUAUUGGAGUCAAGUCUAAGUCACAUAUCUACGGUAACACAGUCAUUCAAUCAUCACGUCCUGCAUCACAACCUCGUCUCCAUGCGUUCCUCAUUCUGCUUCCACUAGAAGAUGAAUGGAGUCCGUUGCAGGACAUUGCUGAGUGGAGAUGGCAACGAAGGUCUUCUCCUUAUCACAAUUCCAAGCUUCGUUGUUGAGAUCCAGGGCCACCGCCUCGCCCACCGGCAUAGCCUAGUCCACCGAGUGAACCAUCCAAUAUGCCUGCUCUGCUUAGGAACCUAUCAAGCUUGAACUCGGAGGAGGCAUCAAGCCCUCUCCACCGUCGUCGACGUGGUGCCUGUCCCUCCGAAAACCAGAUCUUAUCAACCCCGUUCCUCACUGAGGUGAGCAUGGUGCAUGGGCUAUGGUCAAGUGAGUAUCAUAAGGGGGACUAAGAAAUCAAGCGUAUGAAGAUUGUUCUAUAGGAAGACUUUUGUAAUUGGCUAUCUAAAAGAUACUGGUAGAAAAUUUUCGAGGAGAUGAGGAUGAGGAGGUAACAAGGAGAAAGGCCUUCACAUAGUCCAUGGCUAUGAGGGCUUGGGGGUCAGGGUUCUCUCUCUCUCCACAUGCCUCCACCAACGUCAGCCACUCAUCAAUGAAGUAAUUUAAGAUGUGGUUGACUUUGUUGGAUACAUGGCUCAUCAAAUGGCCACGUCUGUGUCAGCUUUGGCAGCAGAUAAUACCUCAUUUAAUGCGGAGGAGAGAGAGAGAGAGGAGAAGAUGAGACGUGUGAAAUGGCUCCAAACAUAGACCAUUUCUCACGCCACUCAACGGCUUAGUAAAAUGGCCCAAGGUGGUUGCUGACACGUUUCCUAAGGCAGCUCAAGAGCCUUACAAAUAAAGGUAAUCUCUUUUCAUCUUAUAACACUAAUGACUAGAGGGUACCAAAUAAGUUAGGAAUAAGUUUCUAGAGUAAUCUCUACUGGUUGGUGAGGGAUUAAUGAGUUCUUUGAGGGCUAAGAUUAAAUAUUUAUAUUUUGAGUUCUAAGGAAUGUUCUUCUAUACUUUUACUAUAUUUAGUGGAACUUUUCAUUACCCAUAGAUGUAAAAAGUCAACCUCUAAAUCACGUAAAUUUUUUAUGUCUCGGAUUAUGAGUUAUUCAUUUCAUUUUUGUAUUCUAGCUUAUAUGCUAAGUACAUAUUAGGAUUUUAUUUUAAGUACAUAUAAGGUAUAUCUUCUCAUUUGUCACAUCAGUCAAAGCUUGUCUCCCUCUCAUCUCAUUCUAUAACGGUGACCCUCCCACAACAUCUCUAUUGUCUUGUUCAUCGCAAUGGUUGACACUAGAUCACCUAUGUAAGGGUGGCCUACUCAACCCCUUUACAAGGGAGGUCCAUGUGAGCCUUUUCUCACCUUUUGGGCUAUCAAUUAUGAAUGUUUUAUGGUUAAAAAACGGCCUAGUCCCUCUUUUGUAAUCUACACUUAAAAAGUGGAGCUUGAGGAAAGAGAAAAACAAAGAGGAAGAUAGAUAAAUCAAAAGCAUGGAAAACCCUUUUUCCUCUCUAGCGGCUGAAGAUAGGAUCUGGACUCCACCCCUUCUCUCUCUCAACCGAUGGCUGGAUUUAUGGCUUCAUUAACUCUAUUUUUGUUGUACCUUGGUCCUCAGACAUUGGAUAUUUUUCUUUCUCCUCAUUCACUACUGCUCAUGAACUGUGUUUAUCUUUUUUAGACCACAAUAAUCAAGAUCUACAUUAUUAUACCCCAUUCUACAUUCUCUAUCAUUUAUCACCUAGUGGACUUGCUCUACUCGUGCUCUCUCAUUUUUACUGUGUUGACAGACCAUUUAUAAGUCUACUAAGAUCUCAAUUCACUCUCUGUACCCCAACAUCUCAGAUUCACGGGCUGACCUGCUUUCCAUCAGAUCUCCUCCGAACCUACCCCCAGAGCAGGAUAGAGAGGCCAUCGAUGGUGGUAGUGCUGGCGCACACGAACUCCGCGAAGUAGACUUGGAGAUCGUUGCCGAGGAAGGGAAGGCUUCCGAGCA
rnacentral:lncRNA from 1 species